CUACUGUACUGAUGUUGCAGAGUUCGCUUGCAGCCGAUUAGAGAAUGAGACAGGGUGGUUUGUAAUGAAUGGCGAUUCGACGAUGUCGGUUCAACGUGUUAUUUUUGCAAGAUACAUCAAUGUGCUCCUUAACAACCCCAACCGGUGAAUCACACCGUUUCAACUUCCAUCCAGCAUUACGAUCAUACAGAGAAUUAUAACUUCAGAUUUCUGAGCUUCAUGAGAAGAUCCAGCGAAUGCAGUUCGUUGAAGAACAUCGGCACAAGGUUCCAGAAUAGGAGUGCGUUCUUGGUACAUGCUCGGUGUAGAACGUAUCAAUGAAUUCAUCGUGCCUGAUCGAGUGUAAUGCAAUUGACGGUUCAAAGUUGUAAUGAACCUCCCUCUUUUGUAAUAUACUUUUAUGCAGGAUUUUGGUUAGGAUUUUCUCCUGCUGCAAAGUUGCAUUUUUGUUGUAGUUUUUUCAAUUCUGGCCUUUUUGUAAUGUGUAAUGGAUGUAUUGGUUUUGGAUAUGGCUUCCUCUUGUUUGAUGUAUCAUGAUCUUUUUAUGAACAUUUGAUGUUCAGGUUGCUUUAUGUACAGUACCAAUGUGUAGGCCCGAGAUCUUCUGGAACUGAAUGUGACUGGCUAGCAUGAGCAUUGUUUA